UACAGGGUUUCCGUAGGUGACCUGCGGAAGGAUCAUUGUCGAAACCUGCCUAGCAGAACGACCCGUGAACACGUGAAGCCCUGGUUCAGGGAGGCGGGGUUAGGGGCCUUCAGGUCCUUGCCCCUCCGCCCGCUGGCUGCGUAGCGCCCUGUGCGCUCUCGGCCAAACAACGAACCCCCGGCGCAAACCGCGCCAAGGAAUACGAAACGGAAUGAGCGCCUCGGCGCUUCCGAUCUUUGAACGACUCUCGGCAACGGAUAUCUUGGCUCUCGCAUCGAUGAAGAACGUAGCGAAAUGCGAUACUUGGUGUGAAUUGCAGAAUCCCGUGAAUCAUCGAGUCUUUGAACGCAAGUUGCGCCCUAGGCCGUCAGGCCGAGGGCACGCCUGCCUGGGCGUCACGCACCGAGUCGCCCCCACCCCUUUUGGUUGGGUUGGAGCGGAUAAUGGCCCCCCGUGCCCUAGCGCGCGGUCGGCCCAAAAGAGGGCCUUGGGAGGCCAGCGUCACGAUUCGUGGUGGUUGUCAAGACUCGCCGGAUCAAGUGCCGUUUGUGCUGUCCCUCGGGCCGUUGGGACCCCAUAGAUCCGUCUUGCGACGGCAUCCACUCUGCGACCCCAGUCA
rnacentral:rRNA from 1 species